CCCGUGUCUCUGCAGGCCCCACACUUAGAAAUGCCACGUGGUAACGCGAACCGGGGAUCCAAGAGUAAAAGGGAGCCGGCACUUUUACGCUGCUGCAGAUGUUUGAAUCUCUGAUUGUCUGGUGAGUGAUGAAGAUGGUGUUUUGGAGGUUUUGCCUGUGAUCAUCAUAAUCAGUUCUGCCUGUUUGAAGAAACGCAUGCUUGCACAGCUUGAAACAUUUAAAACCUUUCAAGUCGGUCUUUGGCACCUCUGAUGUUAAAUUUCCAGUGUGUGAAGCUACUUGACCUGGAAAAUAAACACAGCACCGCAUGUAGCACUGUGGGAUAGCAGAAGAAAUCUGACCUGUGUAUCUAAAAAAAGAGACAAAACUACGAGGGCCUGAUUUUCUGUGGUGUUUUAGUAAUAAUUUUAUGGUAUGUAAACAGAUAGAUGUGUCUGCUGUUGUCCUCAAUGUUCAGUACCUUUCAUGUAGGAGUUUUAAAACUGUGGUCCUUGAAUCUUCAGUGACCUACCUUGAGUUUCCUCAAAGUAAUAAAGGUUAAUGUAUAUUACAGACUUCGGUGGAAACAGCUGA